UCUAUGAUGAUACACGACUCAAGCAUAGUUCACACUGAAACGAUCAUGUUGACAAAAAUGCAUCUAACGUCUUUCGCUCCUAUCUGA
rnacentral:snoRNA from 1 species